UACAGAGGUCUCAAGCGUUGUUCGGAUUCAUUGGGCGUAAAGGGUGCGUAGGUGGCGCCGUAAGUCGGGUGUGAAAUUUCGGAGCUUAGCUCCGAAACUGCAUUCGAUACUGCGGUGCUUGAGGACUGGAGAGGAGACUGGAAUUCACAGUGGAGCAGUGAAAUGCGUAGAUAUUGUGAGGAACACUAGUGGCGAAGGCGAAUCUCUGGACAGUUCCUGACGCUGAGGCACGAAGGCCAGGGGAGCAAACGGG
rnacentral:rRNA from 1 species